rnacentral:rRNA from 2 species
UGCCUAAUACAUGCAAGUCGUACGCACUGGCCCAACUGAUUGAUGGUGCUUGCACCUGAUUGACGAUGGAUCACCAGUGAGUGGCGGACGGGUGAGUAACACGUAGGUAACCUGCCCCGGAGCGGGGGAUAACAUUUGGAAACAGAUGCUAAUACCGCAUAACAACAAAAGCCGCAUGGCUUUUGUUUGAAAGAUGGCUUUGGCUAUCACUCUGGGAUGGACCUGCGGUGCAUUAGCUAGUUGGUAAGGUAACGGCUUACCAAGGCGAUGAUGCAUAGCCGAGUUGAGAGACUGAUCGGCCACAAUGGAACUGAGACACGGUCCAUACUCCUACGGGAGGCAGCAGUAGGGAAUCUUCCACAAUGGGCGCAAGCCUGAUGGAGCAACACCGCGUGAGUGAAGAAGGGUUUCGGCUCGUAAAGCUCUGUUGUUGGAGAAGAACGUGCGUGAGAGUAACUGUUCACGCAGUGACGGUAUCCAACCAGAAAGUCACGGCUAACUACGUGCCAGCAGCCGCGGUAAUACGUAGGUGGCAAGCGUUAUCCGGAUUUAUUGGGCGUAAAGCGAGCGCAGGCGGUUGCUUAGGUCUGAUGUGAAAGCCUUCGGCUUAACCGAAGAAGUGCAUCGGAAACCGGGCGACUUGAGUGCAGAAGAGGACAGUGGAACUCAUGUG